AUUGAACGCUGGCGGCAUGCCUUACACAUGCAAGUCGAACGGUAACAGGUCUUCGGAUGCUGACGAGUGGCGAACGGGUGAGUAAUACAUCGGAACGUGCCCGAGAGGGGGGGAUAACGAGGCGAAAGCUUUGCUAAUACCGCAUACGAUCUCAGGAUGAAAGCAGGGGACCGCAAGGCCUUGCGCUCACGGAGCGGACGAUGGCAGAUUAGGUAGUUGGUGAGAUAAAAGCUUACCAAGCCGACGAUCUGUAGCUGGUCUGGGAGGACUACCAGCCAGACUGGGACUGAGACACGGCCCAGACUCCUACAGGAGGCAGCAGUGGGGAAUUUUGGACAAUGGGCUCAAGCCUGAUACAGCCAUGCCGCGUGCAGGAUGAAGGCCUUCGGGUUGUAAACUGCCUUUGUACGGAACGAAAAGACUCCUUCUAAUAAAGGGGGUCCAUGACGGUACCGUAAGAAUAAGCACCGGCUAACUACGUGCCAUCCGCCGCGGUAAAAC
rnacentral:rRNA from 1 species